GCUUGUCUCAAAGAUUAAGCCAUGCAUGUGUAAGUAUAAAUAACUCUAUACUAUGAAACUGCGAAUGGCUCAUUAUAUCAGUUAUAGUUUAUUUGAUAAUACUUUACUACUAGGAUAACCGUAGUAAUUCUAGAGCUAAUACUUGCGUAAAAACCUGACUUCUGGAAGGGUUGUAUUUAUUAGAUUGAAACCAAUUCGGGCAACCGGUCCUUUGGUGAUUCAUGAUAACUUUGCGAAUCGCAUAGCUUUAAUGCUGGCGAUGGGUCAUUCAAAUUUCUGCCCUAUCAACUUUCGACGGUAGGAUAGAGGCCUACUGUGGUGAUAACGGGUAACGAAGAAUAAGGGUUCGAUUUCGGAGAGGGAGCCUGAGAAACGGCUACCACAUCCAAGGAAGGCAGCAGG
rnacentral:rRNA from 1 species